rnacentral:tRNA from 1 species
GAAUGCUUAGUUUAACAUAAAACAUCUGAUUUCGGCUCAGAAAAUCGUGGUUUGAGUCCACCAUUAUUCA